GCAGUGGUGGCCGAGUGGAAAUGACGUCCGGCUUUCAAUCCGGAGGUUGCGGGUUCAAAUCCUGGCUCGUACCAAUGAGUUUUUCGGAACUUAUGUACGAAAUAUCAUUUGAUAUUUACCACUAGCUUUUCGGUGAAGGAAAACAUCGUGAGGAAACCUGCAUACAUCUGCGAAGAAAUUCAAAGGUGUAUGUGAAGUCCCCAAUCCGGCCCAAUGCGGAUUGGGGACUUCACAUACACCUUUGAAUUUCUUCGCAGAUGUAUGCAGGUUUCCUCACGAUGUUUUCCUUCACCGAAAAGCUAGUGGUAAAUAUCAAAUGAUAUUUCGUACAUAAGUUCCGAAAAACUCAUUG